rnacentral:rRNA from 1 species
ACACUCCUACGGGAGGCAGCAGUGGGGAAUAUUGGACAAUGGGCGCAAGCCUGAUCCAGCCAUGCCGCGUGAGUGAUGAAGGCCCUAGGGUUGUAAAGCUCUUUCACCGGUGAAGAUAAUGACGGUAACCGGAGAAGAAGCCCCGGCUAACUUCGUGCCAGCAGCCGCGGUAAUACGAAGGGGGCUAGCGUUGUUCGGAUUUACUGGGCGUAAAGCGCACGUAGGCGGACUAUCAAGUCAGGGGUGAAAUCCCGGGGCUCAACCCCGGAACUGCCUUUGAUACUGGUAGUCUUGAGUUCGAGAGAGGUGAGUGGAAUUCCGAGUGUAGAGGUGAAAUUCGUAGAUAUUCGGAGGAACACCAGUGGCGAAGGCGGCUCACUGGCUCGAUACUGACGCUGAGGUGCGAAAGCGUGGGGAGCAAACAGGAUUAGAAACCCUGGUAGUCCCAUGAU